rnacentral:lncRNA from 1 species
CGGUAAUUCUUCAAGGAAUACAUCUGGAAACUCAUAUACAGUUCUAAUCUUGCUGCACUAACUACCAACCGAAUCUAAAUUAAUAACAUAAGCUAGAUAUGCUGUACAGCCCUGCUGAAGCUAUUUGUUAACAUUUAUCACUGAAAUGAUACGUGUCGACCACUGGUACGAAUGUCAUUUACCUCAAUGUUGUCCCUAUCUUCUGUCUGAAUACUGAAUCUCUUUUUAUAACAAUCC